UAAUACGGAGGAUGCAAGCGUUAUCCGGAAUUAUUGGGCGUAAAGCGUCCGCAGGUGGUUUUACAAGUCUGCUGUCAAAGCGUGGAGCUUAACUCCAUAAAGGCAGUGGAAACUGUGAGACUAGAGUUCGGUAGGGGUUACGGGAAUUCCCAGUGUAGCGGUGAAAUGCGUAGAUAUUGGGAAGAACACCAGCGGCGAAAGCGCGUAACUGGGCCUGAACUGACACUGAGGGACGAAAGCUAGGGGAGCGAAAGGGAUUAGAUACCCCUGUAGUCCUAGCCGUAAACGAUGGAAACUAGGUGUUGCCCGUAUCGACCCGGGCAGUGCCGUAGCUAACGCGUUAAGUUUCCCGCCUGGGGAGUACGCACGCAAGUGUG
rnacentral:rRNA from 1 species